UCUCUCUCUUAUCUCUUUCCUGUAGAGAAGCUCGGACACUGUUUUUCCCCAAUCCACGACACUGCUCCGGCUGAGCGAAAUCCAGGUACCCUACGCUGCUCCGGGCAAAUUUGCUCGCCCCGAACUACUCUGGCGAUGACCUCCCUCUAUAGCCCUGCCUCUCCGCGCGCUGCUUCUUAUCCAUCCCUGUGCGGCCGUGCCCCAUGGCUUCUACCGGCUGCUGCAAGGGAUGGCCGGAGAGUGCACUGCUGCGGGAGAUGACCGAAUACGCCGCUGCUGCACCGCCACACGUCUCUGCUGCUAGUAGCAGGGACACGGCGAACUACACAAGCAGCAGAGCAACGACGAUAUCGAUGAUCCUAACGACAAUGGCAAGCUCGAGUCUCCCCCGACGAGCUCGACCAGGAAUAGGAUGACGGCGAUGUCUCGGAGCAGCACGGUCGACCUCGGCGCCCUCCUGCGCGGUGAAGCCCCACUAGCAAAACCCAAGAUGUUGUCCAACCAAGUUUGUGUAUCCACAUUGCUUCUGAUGGCAUUGAAAGCUUCUACAAAGGCUUCCUCUUCCUCAUACUUAUACAUGCAAGCACUGAAAUCAGCAAGUACAUUUGGUCCCUCCUCGUCUUUUUUCUUAUGAGCUUCACCAUACAUCAAGUCCCGUUGACGCCUGGUUCGCAAGUGGUUCUUGCGAUCACGACAUGUGUAGCCAAGGUUCAGUGGACCACCAACUUGUCGACUUGCUAACUCAUGGGCUCUUCUAGGUACAAUUCCUGAAUCAUCCGCUGUUUCCAUUUCAAAUGCUUGCAAGGCCGAAAUCUUCCGUUGUGAUGGCAUCAAGUGGCUUGUCCCAAGUAAUUGCAAGACAUGGUUGUGUUCAACAACUAACUCAUGCACCUUAUAAUUUUCUGCUUCUCUGUGUAUAGUGAUUCCCAUUCGAACAUUGUAGCUGGUCCUUGUUUCUGCACGAGGACAUUUUGUAUUAUUACCCCUUUUGUCUUUUCUUCUGUAGCCUUCAUUAGAACAGACGUAUCUUGCAGAAGUGAUUACUCCAUCAAGUUUGCUCUUGUUUUCAUAAUUUACCCUUGCAUCAAAACCAGUAUGACCUCCAUAACAUGUCCAAAAGUUCCAAGCCUCUUUUGUGGAAUUAAACUUCAUACCAAUAUGAAGCAUCCAACUAGGAACCACAAUUGUCCUACACAAAUUAAGCAUAACUUAUUUGUUUCUCUGCUUACACUACAAUUAUAAGAUCACAUGGCCUAAUAAGAAUUUAACAAAACUAUUUUUUUGACAAAAAGACUGUAAGGGAACCCCCUACAGUAUAAUUGGUGCAACAAAGCCAAAUUGGAAGUAUCAUGCCUUGAACCUGGGUGGGUGGGAAGGCAUCAGCCCCUUCCCACCACUAGACUAUGCCUUAGUCUGCAAUUUAACAAAACUAUUGGUACCUGUUAGAACCUUGAUACGUCUCCAACGUAUCUAUAAUUUUUGAUUGCUCCAUGCUACUUUAUCUACUAUUUUAGGCAAUAUUGGGCUUUAUUAUCCACUUUUAUAUUA